rnacentral:rRNA from 1 species
GAUGAACGCUGGCGGCGUGCCUAAUACAUGCAAGUCGAGCGAACGGACGAGAAGCUUGCUUCUCUGAUGUUAGCGGCGGACGGGUGAGUAACACGUGGAUAACCUACCUAUAAGACUGGGAUAACUUCGGGAAACCGGAGCUAAUACCGGAUAAUAUUUUGAACCGCAUGGUUCAAAAGUGAAAGACGGUCUUGCUGUCACUUAUAGAUGGAUCCGCGCUGCAUUAGCUAGUUGGUAAGGUAACGGCUUACCAAGGCAACGAUGCAUAGCCGACCUGAGAGGGUGAUCGGCCACACUGGAACUGAGACACGGUCCAGACUCCUACGGGAGGCAGCAGUAGGGAAUCUUCCGCAAUGGGCGAAAGCCUGACGGAGCAACGCCGCGUGAGUGAUGAAGGUCUUCGGAUCGUAAAACUCUGUUAUUAGGGAAGAACAUAUGUGUAAGUAACUGUGCACAUCUUGACGGUACCUAAUCAGAAAGCCACGGCUAACUACGUGCCAGCAGCCGCGGUAAUACGUAGGUGGCAAGCGUUAUCCGGAAUUAUUGGGCGUAAAGCGCGCGUAGGCGGUUUUUUAAGUCUGAUGUGAAAGCCCACGGCUCAACCGUGGAGGGUCAUUGGAAACUGGAAAACUUGAGUGCAGAAGAGGAAGGUGGAAUUCCAUGUGUAGCGGUGAAAUGCGCAGAGAUAUGGAGGAACACCAGUGGCGAAGGCGACUUUCUGGUCUGUAACUGACGCUGAUGUGCGAAAGCGUGGGGAUCAAACAGGAUUAGAUACCCUGGUAGUCCACGCCGUAAACGAUGAGUGCUAAGUGUUAGGGGGUUUCCGCCCCUUAGUGCUGCAGCUAACGCAUUAAGCACUCCGCCUGGGGAGUACGACCGCAAGGUUGAAACUCAAGGGAAUUGACGGGGACCCGCACAAGCGGUGGAGCAUGUGGUUUAAUUCGAAGCAACGCGAAGAACCUUACCAAAUCUUGACAUCCUUUGACAACUCUAGAGAUAGAGCCUUCCCCUUCGGGGGACAAAGUGACAGGUGGUGCAUGGUUGUCGUCAGCUCGUGUCGUGAGAUGUUGGGUUAAGUCCCGCAACGAGCGCAACCCUUAAGCUUAGUUGCCAUCAUUAAGUUGGGCACUCUAAGUUGACUGCCGGUGACAAACCGGAGGAAGGUGGGGAUGACGUCAAAUCAUCAUGCCCCUUAUGAUUUGGGCUACACACGUGCUACAAUGGACAAUACAAAGGGCAGCGAAACCGCGAGGUCAAGCAAAUCCCAUAAAGUUGUUCUCAGUUCGGAUUGUAGUCUGCAACUCGACUACAUGAAGCUGGAAUCGCUAGUAAUCGUAGAUCAGCAUGCUACGGUGAAUACGUUCCCGGGUCU